rnacentral:rRNA from 1 species
CCUACGGGAGGCUGCAGUGGGGAAUAUUGGACAAUGGGGGCAACCCUGAUCCAGCCAUGCCGCGUGUGUGAAGAAGGCCCUCGGGUUGUAAAGCACUUUCAGUGAGGAAGAACGCCUGGUGGUUAAUACCCAUCAGGAAAGACAUCACUCACAGAAGAAGCACCGGCUAACUCCGUGCCAGCAGCCGCGGUAAUACGGAGGGUGCGAGCGUUAAUCGGAAUUACUGGGCGUAAAGCGCGCGUAGGUGGCUUGAUAAGCCGGUUGUGAAAGCCCCGGGCUCAACCUGGGAACGGCAUCCGGAACUGUCGAGCUAGAGUGCAGGAGAGGAAGGUAGAAUUCCCGGUGUAGCGGUGAAAUGCGUAGAGAUCGGGAGGAAUACCAGUGGCGAAGGCGGCCUUCUGGACUGACGCUGACACUGAGGUGCGAAAGCGUGGGUAGCGAACAGGAUUAGAUACCCUUGUAGUC